GUUGGUAGCUAGAAAAUAUUUUGUAGCAUAAUGCGCCUCUUUGAGAGGAGAUUAAGUGCCUGUAAUAAAGUGAAGUCUCACUUGCAGGGUAUGAAGUGACAAGUCUUAGCAAAUGAAGUAAUUCUAGAGAUGGAUAGAACAAGAUAUGUUUUCACUUGGAUUUUCUGGAAUGUGCCAUGGUGUUUCCCAGGGUCAGACUGUGAUGGAAGACACAGUGCAUAAAGAAAGGAGGAAUGGACAAACAGAUAAAAGGGUAACCUUCAAGGUUUUCCCUGUCUGCCUAGGCUUAAUGUAACUUGCAAGCAUCUUGCUUAUGUCAGAAGUAUAUUUCGUCUUACUGUUAUGCACAAGCAUACAAAGCGACAGUUACCUAACUUGACCAGCACCUAAUUCUGGCACUUGAAUGAUGUUGCAUGUAC